rnacentral:rRNA from 1 species
UACGUAGGGGGCAAGCGUUGUCCGGAAUUAUUGGGCGUAAAGAGCGCGUAGGCGGUCCGGUAAGUCAGCUGUGAAAGUCAAGGGCUCAACCCUUGAAAGCCGGCUGAUACUGCCGGACUAGAGUCCGGAAGAGGCGAGUGGAAUUCCCGGUGUAGCGGUGAAAUGCGCAGAUAUCGGGAGGAACACCAAUGGCGAAGGCAGCUCGCUGGGACGGUACUGACGCUGAGAGACGAAAGCUAGGGGAGCGAAUGGG